rnacentral:rRNA from 1 species
UACGGAGGGUGCGAGCGUUGUCCGGAAUUACUGGGCGUAAAGAGCUCGUAGGUGGUUUGUCGCGUUGUUCGUGAAAACUCACAGCUUAACUGUGGGCGUGCGGGCGAUACGGGCAGACUGGAGUACUGCAGGGGAGACUGGAAUUCCUGGUGUAGCGGUGGAAUGCGCAGAUAUCAGGAGGAACACCGGUGGCGAAGGCGGGUCUCUGGGCCAAAACUGACGCUGAGGAGCGAAAGCGUGGGGAGCGAACAGG